UACGUAGGGUGCAAGCGUUGUCCGGAAUUAUUGGGCGUAAAGAGCUCGUAGGCGGUUUGUCGCGUCUGCUGUGAAAACCCGAGGCUCAACCUCGGGCCUGCAGUGGGUACGGGCAGACUAGAGUGCGGUAGGGGAGAUUGGAAUUCCUGGUGUAGCGGUGAAAUGCGUAGAUAUCGGUAGGAACACCAGUGGCGAAGGCGGUCUCCUGGGGCACUCUUGACGCUGAGGCGCGAAAGCUGGGGGAGCGAACAGG
rnacentral:rRNA from 1 species